AUUGAACGCUGGCGGCAGGCUUAACACAUGCAAGUCGAGCGGGGGAAGGUAGCUUGCUACUGGACCUAGCGGCGGACGGGUGAGUAAUGCUUAUGAAUCUGCCUAUUAGUGGGGGACAACAUCUCGAAAGGGAUGCUAAUACCGCAUACGUCCUACGGGAGAAAGCAGGGGAUCUUCGGACCUUGCGCUAAUAGAUGGGCCUAAGUCGGAUUAGCUAGGUGGUGGGGUAAAGGCCUACCAAGGCGACGAUCUGUAGCGGGUCUGAGAGGAUGAUCCGCCACACUGGGACUGAGACACGGCCCAUACUCCUACGGGAGGCAGCAGUGGGGAAUAUUGGACAAUGGGGGGAACCCUGAUCCAGCCAUGCCGCGUGUGUGAAGAAGGCCUUAUGGUUGUAAAGCACUUUAAGCGAGGAGGAGGCUACUUUAGUUAAUACCUAGAGAUAGUGGACGUUACUCGCAGAAUAAGCACCGGCUAACUCUGUGCCAGCCGCCGCGGUAA
rnacentral:rRNA from 1 species